AGACCUAAAUUGGUCUUUCAGCCACAUUUACUAAUACUAAGUAAAGAUUACUUAGUAUUAGUAAAUGAUCUGCCCCUACUCGCUAUGCAGCGAGUAGGGGCAUGUCUAGUAAGCAGUGAGCAGCCAGUGGCUGCUCACUGUAAAAAAACAAACAAACAAACAAACAAAAAAAAACCUAUUAGCUCCCACCCCUGUGCAACGGGUGGGGGCCAUUAAUUACAAUGGGGGGGAGGCCCUACUGUCCUCCCCCCCGGCCCCCACCCCUGCACGGUGGGUGGGGGCCAUAAAAAUAAUGAGGGGGGGACCUACUGUCCUCCCCCACCCCUGAGCAGCGGGUGGGGGCCCUAAAUACUAAAAAGGGGGGGGGACCUAAGGUCCUCCCCCCUGGCCCCC